AUGAAUGCAAUUUUUGGCAAGUACUUGAGGAAAUUUAUAUUGGUUUUCUUUGAUGAUAUCUUGCUGUUUAGCACAAGUCUGGAAGAACACUUAGAACACUUGGGAAUAGUGUUUAAACUGCUUGAGGAGCAUCAGUUGUCAGUUAAAAUGUCCAGGUGCUUGUUUGCUGUUCCUCAGGUAGAUAAUUUGGGUCAUAUCAUAAAUGAGCAGGGGCUUUCCACAUACCCUGAGAAAGUAAGUGCAGUUACUGAGUGGCCUACUCCAACUUCUCUAACACAGUUAAGAAGUUUCUUGGGAUUGUGUGGCUACUAUAGAAGAUCUGUUCAAAAUUUUGGGUUAAUUGCAAGGCCACUUCAUGAAAUGCUCAAACAGGGAAAUUUCAAAUGGACAAAUGUGCAAGACAUAGCUGUUCAACAGCUUAAGCAAGCAAUGGCCACAGCUCCAGUUUUAGCCCUCCCUGAUUUCACUUCUCCUGGAGUGCGGAACGGCUAG
rnacentral:rRNA from 1 species